rnacentral:rRNA from 1 species
GCACAAGCGGCGGAGCAUGCGGAUUAAUUCGAUGCAACGCGAAGAACCUUACCAAGGCUUGACAUACACCGGUAACGCCCUGAGAUGGGUGCCCCUUUGUGGUCGGUGGACAGGUGGUGCAUGGUUGUCGUCAGCUCGUGUCGUGAGAUGUUGGGUUAAGUCCCGCAACGAGCGCAACCCUCGUCCUAUGUUGCCAGCGGGUCAUGCCGGGGACUCAUGGGAGACUGCCGGGGUCAACUCGGAGGAAGGUGGGAUGACGUCAAAUCAUCAUGCCCCUUAUGUCUUGGGCUUCACGCAUGCUACAAUGGCCGGUACAAAGGGCUGCGAUACCGCGAGGUGGAGCGAAUCCCAGAAAGCCGGUCUCAGUUCGGAUUGGGGUCUGCAACUCGACCCCAUGAAGUCGGAGUCGCUAGUAAUCGCAGAUCAGCAACGCUGCGGUGAAUACGUUCCCGGGCCUU